rnacentral:rRNA from 1 species
UCCGGUUGAUCCCGCCGACCAGACCGCUAUGGGAGUAGGGAUAAGCCAUGGGAGUCGAACGCUUCCGGGAAGGAGGCGUGGCAGACGGCUGAGUAACACGUGGUUAACUUACCCUCGGGACCUGGAUAACUCCGGGAAACUGGAGCUAAUCCGGGGCAGAUAAAGGUUGCUGGAAUGCUCCUUUAUCUAAAGGCCUCUAGGCUGUUCCCGUCUAGAGGUGCCCGAGGAUAGGACUGCGACCCAUCAGGUUGUUGGGGGAGUAAUGGUCCCCCAAGCCUAUAAUGGGUAGGGGCCCUGAGAGGGGGAGCCCCCAGUUGGGCACUGAGACAAGGGCCCAGGCCCUACGGGGCGCACCAGGCACGAAACGUCUCCAAUGGGGGAACCGUGAGAGCGCUACUCCCAGUGCUCCCGUAAGGGAGCUUUUCCUCACUCUAGAUAGGUGAGGGAAUAAGCGGGGGGCAAGACUGGUGUCAGCCGCCGCGGUAAUACCAGCCCCGCGAGUGGUCUGGACGCUUACUGGGCUUAAAGCGCCCGUAGCCGGCCCUACAAGUCACUGUUUAAAGAUCCGGGCUCAACCCGGGGAAGGGCAGUGAUACUGUGGGGCUAGGGGGCGAGAGAGGUCGGAGGUAUUCCUGGAGUAGGGGCGAAAUCCUUAGAUCCCGGGAAGACCACCAGUGGCGAAAGCGUCCGGCCAGAACGCGCCCGACGGUGAGGGGCGAAAGCCGGGGUAGCAAAAGGGAUUAGAUACCCCUGUAGUCCCGGCUGUAAACUAUGCAGGCUAGGUGUAGCGUAGGCUUUGCGCCUACGCUGUGCCGCAGAGAAAUUGGUAAGCCUGCCGCCUGGGGAGUACGACCGCAAGGUUGAAACUUAAAGGAAUUGGCGGGGGAGCACCACAAGGGGUGGAACCUGCGGCUCAAUUGGAUUCAACGCCGGG